rnacentral:rRNA from 1 species
CCCUACGGGGUGCAGCAGGCGAGAAACCUUUGCAAUGUGCGCAAGCACGACAAGGUUAAUCCGAGUGUUUCCUGCUAAAGGAAUCUUUUGUUAGUUGUAAAACCACUGAUGAAUAAGGGGUGGGCAAGUUCUGGUGUCAGCCGCCGCGGUAAAACCAGCACCUCAAGUGGUCAGGAUGAUUAUUGGGCCUAAAGCAUCCGUAGCCUGUUCUGUAAGUUUCCGGUUAAAUCCAUUAGCUCAACUAAUGGGCUGCCGAAAAUACUGCAAAACUAGGGAGUGGGAGAGGUAGACGGUACUCGGUAGGAAGGGGUAAAAUCCUUUGAUCUAUUGAUGACCACCUGUGGCGAAGGCGGUCUACCAGAACACGUUCGACGGUGAGGGAUGAAAGCUGGGGGAGCAAACCGGAUUAGAUACCCAGGUAGUCCCAGCUGUAAACGAUGCAGACUCGGUGAUGCCCUGGCUUGUGGCCAGUGCAGUGCCGCAGGGAAGCCGUUAAGUUUGCCGCCUGGGAAGUACGUACGCAAGUAUGAAACUUAAAGGAAUUGGCGGGGGAGCACCACAAGGGGUGAAGCCUGCGGUUCAAUUGGAGUCAACGCCAGAAAUCUUACCCGAAGAGACAGCAGAAUGAAGGUCAAGCUGGAGACUUUACCAGACAAGCUGAGAAGAAGUGCAUGGCC